CUCUAUGACCUGAGGGCAGACAGAGAGGUGGCCAUUUAUUCUAAAGAGAGCAUCAUAUUUGGAGCCUCUAGUGUGGAUUUCUCCCUCAGCGGGAGGCUGCUGUUUGGUGGCUACAAUGACUACACCAUCAACGUGUGGGACGUUUUAAAGGGCACCCGCGUGUCCAUCUUGUUUGGACAUGAGAACAGAGUUAGCACGCUCCGCGUUUCUCCGGACGGAACAGCGUUCUGCUCGGGAUCCUGGGAUCACACAUUACGGAUCUGGGCCUGAAUGUUGGCUGAACCUCCGCCUGCUUGUGUUUGACAUCCGGCUCGAUCAGAUUUCUCACCGCAGCUGGAUUCAAGGAUAAACCGCAGACUGUAAUGAUACAGAGGGACUGUAGUGCAUCCAACUCUAAUCAGCACAUGGUAUGCUUGGUAUUAUGGGAUGGACUUGGAUGGUGUCCAUGGCUUGUGUUUCUAUGACAACGACUG